rnacentral:lncRNA from 1 species
UGAAGAAACGGAGGUUGACAAGGAAAGAAAGCAGCUUGUGGAAGUUCACACAGUGAGUGUUGCAGUGGGGUCCUGAAACCAGUCAGAGCCCAGAGCCCAGGCUUGGAACUGCUCUUGCCCUGUGUGUUAGGGAGCAGGGUCAAGCAAAUGGCAGAUUAAAGGAACAGGUCUCCUCUGUAAAGACCUGGACCUGCAAGCACUGUCAUGGCUUGAUUUUUCCAAUAUGUGAAUCAAAAGAAUAGAAAUGCUGGCUUGUCUACCUUUCCUUUCCUGAUCUAGAGAUCAGACACUUUAUUUAUAGAGACAGAGGUUUUUUUUUUUUUUUUUUCUUCAAAAAGUUCAAUAAACUUGAUGAGAGCAAGACCAAGUGAGAGAGAAAAGCACAAUAAGCAAUACCAAAUAUAAAAGACAUCUCACCAGGUCCUAAGGGAUUACAAUAACGAAGUACUGUGUAUCUUCUUGCAAGGAUAUAUAUUUUUUAUAUGUUAUAUAAAAAAACACUUAGCUCAAUGACAAAAUAGAUGAAAAACAAAUACUCAAAAUUCAUACAAGUGAAAAAUCUGAAUAGCUGUAUACAUGUGAUAGUAGCAGAGUUUUCUAGAAUGCUGAGCAGACUGAGUGAAGGCCCUUCAUUGAGAACUCUGAGUGGGAAACCUGUGGUGGUCCUGUAAGAAUUCAGGUGUCUCAGCUGCUGGGCCCUGAUUGGAGCUGCCACAGUUGGCCCUGUACAGCAGGUGUGUUUCUGCCUGUGUGAUGUUAAUUUCCAGAGCAGCUUGCCAGGUGGAUGUGGCUUCCCUCUGGGCUUGGCCAGCUUCUGUCUCCCUCCCAGCGCCUUCUUGACCCAGUCCCUCCUGUGCUCUUUAGAUGAUAUCCAUGCAGAACCACGAGGCUCUGGAAACAAAUCGGGAGUACUCAUGUUUAUCUGGGCCUCUCUUGGCUUUUCCACAAUCCACGCAGCCCUCCUCUUGUUUACUCCCACCUGGAGACAGGGUGGGUCCCUUCUUUUGGGAAGAGCCAAGUCAGUGACUCAUUGCCUUCUCUGCAGGGAUGCUGGUGAGGGCCUGGGGCUCAAGUGGGCGGGGAGGAAGCCAGGNCAGGCUUGGAACUGCUCUUGCCCUGUGUGUUAGGGAGCAGGGUCAAGCAAAUGGCAGAUUAAAGGAACAGGUCUCCUCUGUAAAGACCUGGACCUGCAAGCACUGUCAUGGCUUGAUUUUUCCAAUAUGUGAAUCAAAAGAAUAGAAAUGCUGGCUUGUCUACCUUUCCUUUCCUGAUCUAGAGAUCAGACACUUUAUUUAUAGAGACAGAGGUUUUUUUUUUUUUUUUCUUCAAAAAGUUCAAUAAACUUGAUGAGAGCAAGACCAAGUGAGAGAGAAAAGCACAAUAAGCAAUACCAAAUAUAAAAGACAUCUCACCAGGUCCUAAGGGAUUACAAUAACGAAGUACUGUGUAUCUUCUUGCAAGGAUAUAUAUUUUUUAUAUGUUAUAUAAAAAAACACUUAGCUCAAUGACAAAAUAGAUGAAAAACAAAUACUCAAAAUUCAUACAAGCGAAAAAUCUGAAUAGCUGUAUACAUGUGAUAGUAGCAGAGUUUUCUAGAAUGCUGAGCAGACUGAGUGAAGGCCCUUCAUUGAGAACUCUGAGUGGGAAACCUGUGGUGGUCCUGUAAGAAUUCAGGUGUCUCAGCUGCUGGGCCCUGAUUGGAGCUGCCACAGUUGGCCCUGUACAGCAGGUGUGUUUCUGCCUGUGUGAUGUUAAUUUCCAGAGCAGCUUGCCAGGUGGAUGUGGCUUCCCUCUGGGCUUGGCCAGCUUCUGUCUCCCUCCCAGCGCCUUCUUGACCCAGUCCCUCCUGUGCUCUUUAGAUGAUAUCCAUGCAGAACCACGAGGCUCUGGAAACAAAUCGGGAGUACUCAUGUUUAUCUGGGCCUCUCUUGGCUUUUCCACAAUCCACGCAGCCCUCCUCUUGUUUACUCGCACCUGGAGACAGGGUGGGUCCCUUCUUUUGGGAAGAGCCAAGUCAGUGACUCAUUGCCUUCUCUGCAGGGAUGCUGGUGAGGGCCUGGGGCUCAAGUGGGCGGGGAGGAAGCCAGGCACCCUGGAGCAACCUUGGGCACUGCCUGUUUCUGCAUUGCAGGGUCCUGGGCAUUGGGUACAUUUGAGUAGGACAACAUCAGGGAGAUUUAUCUUACAGUUCUUUAAAUUCUUUGUUCCUAUCCUGCAAAUUCUAUCUGUCCUUCCGGUUCCUGAGACUUGUUUUACCAUUGUCAGCUGCUGUUCUGUAGGGUUCGGAAGGUCAUGGAAUCAAGGACCCAAUCCAAAGUGUAGAUCUUCUCCCUCCCUGUCCUUCACAGGGGCGAUCAUUUUAGCUUCCUCUUGUUUUUUGUCUGUAUUUCCCGAGGGCUCACUCUAAGGUAAGUUCAGGUGGGCAUUGGGAAUACCAUGAGAUCAUUCUUGCCUUCAGGCCGCUUUAGGCUAACAGGGAACAGACAAGUCAAUGGUGUGUGUGUGUGUAUGAGGCCCAGGAAGGCUUCCUGGAGAAAGUGACCCAGUGCUGGGCCUGGUGAGUUCACCUCAUCACUGGGGAGGAAGGCUCCACUGAUCCUGGGCAGGUGGCCUCUGUUGCCUGGCAGACUCCACGGCCCAGCCAGAUGCACUGCUGACCUUUGCCUCUGUGGCAUCUCUUUUCUCCCCCUUUGCUGAUCAUCCUGCUUUUAGUGAAAGGAUCCUUUAUAAAUGCUGAUUCCCUCUUUUACCUGUGGAGAUGUAGAUGUGUGGAUGGAUACUCUUUGUGAUUUUGUUUGCUCUUCCUAUUUUUUUUUUUAACCGGUAAUAUUUGGCCUCUGUUAUGGUUAGGAUCUGGAAUGUCCCUCAGGUCUGCUGUGUUCAGAGGUGGGGCUUUGGGGGAAGUGAUUGGAUCCUGUGGGCUCUGACCUUACCAGUGAUGGCUGGAUGGACCACCUGAGGUGGAACUGAGAGAGAGGAAGUGGGUGGGGGGUGCACCCCAAGGUUUAUCCACUCCCUGCCCCCCCUCACUGCCCCCCCCCCACCUCCUCCACUUCCUGGCUGCCAUUAACUGAGUUGCUUUCCUCCACUACACCUUCUGCCAUGUUUCUGCCUUGGACAAAAUAUUGGAAACUAUGCACCAAACCAAAACUUUCCUCCUCCAACCUGUUUUCCUUAGAUAUUUGUCACAGCAACAAGAAGGUGACUAACACAGAUCCUCAGUUGCUUCUGUGCAUGCCUGAGUUCUUCCCUGUGUGUUAAUUUGGGGAGGGGGUACUUGCUCUUCUCCCUGUCUCGAGGGUCUUGAGGCCUCUACACUGUGAGACCCCUGUUCUAUUUUAUAGGGGGUGAUUUCCAUUACUGGAGAAGCUUUUACUAACAUUCAGAAAUGAGUGUUUUGCCAAUAUCUAUCAUUCUUGAUCUAGACUAACAGCAGUUUCAAUGUGGUUCAAUUUAAGUGUUUGCUUCAUGUUAGCAAAAAAGUGUUUCUCAAGUUCUUAGACAAAUUUGUGAAGUCUGGUUUAAGGACCACAUGGGUCUGGAGUGAUGGCGCAUGCCUGUAAUCCCAGUGGCUGUGGAGGCUGAGGCAGGAGGAUCAUGAGUUCAAGGCCAGCUUCUGCAUAAGUGAGGUGCUAAGCAACUCAGUGAGACCCUGUCUCUAAAUAAAAUACAAAACAGGGUUGGGGAUGUGGCUCAGUGGUUGAGUGCCCCUGAGUUCAAUCCCUGGUAAACACCCCCUCCCCAAAUAAAAGGAUGACCUGGGCCCAGGGAGCUUGGAUGAAGGGUGCAGCUCCCUAGCUGUAUGAGCCGGAGGCCAGCAGCCCCUCGCAGAGCUUGUGUUCUCAGACUGAAGGUGAGGGGAAUAAUUGUUGGGAACCUUUCUGUCCCUCAUACACAGGUCAUUUUCACUGUUUCUGUAAAUUGGCUAGUUCCCAUCUAAAUUUGUUUACAUUGUAAAUUUGUGUAGCUAGAGUUUUAACCUGCUAUUUAUUCUUUCUUACACUCUGCUAAGAAGAGUCCCAGCCAAUGAUGUUUCAUUUCUUUUUAGGGGACCUGGAGAGUUGACGACCUUAAAACUUAAGGUUUGUGAAAACAUUCGUAAAGGGUCAUUUAUUUCCCUUCAGUGGCCAGGAGUGGAGGACUCUGAGUGCUGGAAGCGUGUGGGGUUAAAGGCCUCUUGAACAUCAGUGGAUGCAUAUUUCCAUUUGCUUUAAAAUCACCAUUAACCUUUGGCCAGUUUCAGCGUGUUGCUUUGUCCUUCCCAGGAAGAACGCCAAAGCAUUUAGGAACACUGGAGAAAGGAGCAGAUAGGUCCUUGAUGGCUAAGCCCUGCUCAGAACCAUGGAAUGCAAAAGCUCAGAGCUGAUCUGGUUCCCUCCCCAUUUUACAGAGGAGAAAGCAAUGAAUUGCCCAAGACCAUGCAGCAACAUACAGAUCAAAUCCAAACUGGAUUUAAUCCAGAACAUGGUCACAGCUCCUGGUUCCCUCCCUCCCUCCCUCCUUCCUCUCUCUUCCCUCCCUUGACCCCUCCCCCACUUCCUUCUUUUUUCCUUUGUUCCUUCCUUCCUUCUCUUAUCAAAGAUUUCAAGUGUAUACACAAGUGGCAAGAAUGUCAUCAUGUACCUCCUUGUGCCCAACACACAGCUUCAGCAACCAUCAACUCACGAGGAACUUAUUUCAUUGUUUCCAUGACUCGCUUCCUUCCCUCCCCAGUUUAUUUUGAAGCAAAUGUCAUCAUAUCAUUUAAUCCAUAAAUAUUUCAGUGAGCAUCUCUAAAAGAGCCAUCUUCCAGAACACGAUUGCAGUGCCAUUAAUAAAACAAAAACCAAAUGAUGAUUCCUUAAUACUGUGAAAUAUCCUGUCUUAGAGGAUAGUACCUAACCAUUGCUUUAUAGUUAUUUGACAUUUGUGAACACCUAGUUCAGGUAAGAAUUUCUAGAAAUCCUGUUUGAAGGAGCCACAGGAACAUAGUGACCUCAAAACAUAAUUGAAGUGGAUUCUGCUUAGAUACUCAAGGUUUAUCUGGGACAGAUACCUAUUUUCUCCAUUUUUAAAGAUCUCCAGAGACUGAGAGAACAAAUCUCAUGGUUACAUUUAACCUAAAUGUUGCUGAGGAUAGUUUCAAGUUCAUUUAUCUUUUCACACUCACUGAGGGUGAAAUGGACGACUAAGGACCCCUGGAAUCCUUCAAGUGCUCUUGAAUUCCUUCAGUUUUCAUUUGGAGCACUCUUCUAUAAAGAACCCAAGUUUAGUCAGCAACUCUAGAGGUUGAGACAGGAGGAUCGAGAGUUCAGAGCCAGCCUCAGCAAUUUAGCAAGGCCCUAUGCAACUUAGUGAGACCCUGUCUCAAAUAAAUGGGCUGGAGAUGUUGCUCAGUGGUUAAGUGCUCUUGGAUUUAAUCUGCGCUACUAAAAAGCAAAAAAAAAAAAAAAAAAAACCCAAAACACAGUAAAACAAAACAAAAACACCAAAUCCUCCCAGAUUUAAAAACCUUUGCUCACUUUAUCAUUUUCCAGGAAAGUAGAAGAAGAAAAAGAGAAUAUUUAUUAAGUUCAUUCAAUUUAAUCAACAUUGCUGUAGAGAGCUUAAACAACUUUCCCACGAGUGAUAGUUUUCUAUAGCGGCUGUAACAAGUUAUCGCUUGCAGUGGCUUAAAAUGGUGUAAAUUUAUUUUUUUUAAGUUCUGGGAUCCAGAAAUUUGAAUUAAGUUUUAGGGGCUAAAAUUGAGGCAGCGAAGGCUGAUUUCUGCUGGAGGCACGGUGAGGAGGGGGAGAUCUGUUUCUUGCUUCUUCCAGUUUCCAAUGGCUGCGGGCAUUCCUUGGCUGGUGGCCACAUCAUUCUAAUCUCUGCCUCUGGUCACAUUGCCUUUUCCUCUUCUGUGUCAUAUCUGCCUCUGUCUCUUCUCUUGUAAGGACAUUUGUAUUUACAUCCAAGACCCAGACUAAUUCAGGCUGUUCUCCCCACAUCGCGGUCCCCAGUGAUCCCCAAUGUAAUUACAUCUAUGGAGUUUUUUUGUGAUGUGAAGUAGCAUUUACAGGCUCCAGGGAUAAAGAGCUGGAUAUCUUCUUUGAAGGCUGUUAUUUGGUCUCUUACAUUGGUAGACAAGGAUGACCCCAAGUGUGUGUGUUACUAAGCUUUAAUUUCAAUGGUGUAAUAUAAAUGCAGCUUAUUGGCUGGGAAAGAGGAACAGUGGAUAAGAGUUUUUAAAGCUUGAGUUUUUGUGUUAGACAAAUUGAGUUCUCAUCCUAGUUUGUCUUUGAUCAUGGGCACUUUCUUUAACCUCUUUGAACCUCAUUCUUACGAUCUGUUAUUGGGGAUAAAGCCAACUGUCUCACAGGAAAAGUGUAAUAAUACAAUGGACUGGGGUCUGGGAUUGUGGCUCAGUGGCAGAGUCCUUGUCUAGCACGGGCGGGGCCUGAGUUCGAUCCUCAGCACCACAUAAAAAUAAAGGUAUCUUGUUGGGUCCAUCUACACCUAAAAAAAUAAUAAAUAUUAAAAAAAUACAGUGGACUAGUCUAUAACCAGUCCCUGGUGCAGUUCUUGGAGUAUAUGCACUUCCUUAUGGUCUUUGUCUUAGGCAACCUUUUUUUUUUUUUUUUUUGCCAUGACCAAAAUAUUGGACAAGAACAACUUAAAGGAGUGAAGGUUUAUUUUGGUUCCUGGUUUCAGAGAUCCUAGUCCAUGGUCAGCUGAGCUCAUGGCUCUGAAGUGAGGCAGGAUGUCAAGUUGGAGAGGAGUGGCAGAGGAAAGCUGCCCCAUCUCAUGGCAGUUGGAAAGCUGUGGGAGAGAAGGGUCCAGGGAGAAGAUGAAGCCUUCCAGGGCAUGCCCCCAGCGACCUGCUUCCUCCAAGGAGGUCCCACUUCCCAGUAGUCCAUUCAACUAUCUGUGGAUUAAUCCUUCAAGUGAAUUAAUUCACUGAUGGGAUCAGAGUCUCCGUAAUCCAAUCAUUGCCUAACAGCUCCAUCUCUGAAUCUUGCUGCACUGAGGAUCAUGGGGCUUUUGGGGGGACAUUCCAGAUAUAUAUCAUAACACUCGUCUAUGUCAUUAUAAUCCAAGGCUCCUUUUAGUUUAUCUCAGGUAGUGCCUACGCAGAAUCUCGUAUUCUCUGCAAGAUUACAGUACAUUGAUGAAAUCAAACACAAUUUGAUGGUCGAGACAUUCACAGGUGUUAAUAGGUAACUUAUGAGAUAUUGUUGAGUGAAAUGGUUGUGUGACCCAUUAUCAAAUCAAGAAAUAUUAAUUUAAGGGCUGGGGUAUAAUUCAUUGGUGGUGGAUUGCUUUAUGAGUAUGAUUAAGGCCCUAGGUUCAAUAUGAAUUGAAAUUGGGGGGAAAAAAAGAACUGCAAAUUUAAAAUAGCAGAAUGACAAAUAAUAUUGGAGAAACUUUUAAGUAAAUUUGUUAGGAGUUUUGUACAUCAGAAAAUGUCAGUGAGAUGCAGAGGAUUUAAAGAUGGGAAGGAGCCCCGGACCUGGGGCUAGAAUACCUUUGGUCUGUGUUCCAGAUCUGUUUAUUCCUCUCUCAGUGGGCUUGGGGAAGCCACUUCUCCUCUCUAACUUCCCCUGAAUGUACGAAAGUGGGGGUGAGGUCACGGUCUUGAGGACAUCAAAGUGCUUGGAGUAUGUUCUAUAAACCCUUCACAGUCAGAAGCCACUGGUGACCCUUUUCCCUGACAAGAAAGACAAAGUGGAGAAGCAACUACAUGUGGAUCCGCGAUGGACUUCAUUGCAUUAUUUAAAAAAAGAAAUCAAUGAACAGAACAUUUGGUUCCCGAAGCCUUGUUCAGCAUUUGGACACAGCUUUCUUUCCAAAUGAAUCCUGCCAGCCACUGGAGUGAAUGUACAUUUUAUUGAAAAGUUCCACGGUACUGUAGGGCCAGAUGUAGGAAACACACAGAGCUCCUUUUCCAGUAGCAAUUAUCUGAUGAAAUUGUGCCUUGUCUGCAGCAGGCGAACCAGCUACACUCCCAUUGGAGUAGGGAUCACGUGCUGGGGUAUUUAUAAACUGUAAAAGAUGUUUGUCAGCAUGCACAGCCCAUGCAUUCAUCCCUAAGUGCCAGCAAGAAAUAGCUUCGCUGUUUCUGAAGAGCUAAUGAUGGAUUCAUAAAUUCUGUCAGCAGAUCUAUUGCUGCAAGGGAUUCGCUGUGUAGACAAGGACGACUCCAGCCUGUGCAAUUUUACUUGUGGCCUGAAUCAGACACUUGGCCCAUCCUCCCCUGAGCCAACCUCAACAGACUUCAGAAGCAAAGCAAGAGUCCUGGUGCAUGGAGAUGGUGUCACAAGAAAGGGAGCCUUCGGGGUCAGCAUGCUCAGCAUCUCAUCUCCUCUCUCCUCCCUCUGAGCAAUAGAUGCUUUCCAAGAUGGUGCACACACUGUCUCACCUCACUGCCAGGGGCUGCUGAGGCCAGGACUUCUGGAAUCUUUUCCAGGCUCUCAAGGUGCAGUUGUGUUGGGAAUGGGCAUGGGAAUGGCUCCCGUUUGCCUAGACUCUUUGUUUUGGGGUCACCUCGACAGCCCAGCACACCAUAGAAGUGCUGGAGGCCCACCCUGGUGUUCACAGGGCCUUUUCACUGGUCCCUUCCUGCUUCCACUGAGUCUGGGUGUGUUCCGGCUCCUGACUUGGCCUGGACUUUUGUUCAUCAUCUGCCCGUGGGUCUUGGAAAAUCAUCUCACUCCAGCUCUGCUCAUAUAUAUCCUCAGUCAGUGUGUCAGUUUAGGCCAUCCUCAGUGUGAACUUAGCACCUCCCCCCAGGUCAGCCCCAGUCCCCUUACCAGCUGGGGUUCAGUCCUCUCUGCUGGGAGUCCUGCAGAGAGACACCUGGGUAUUCCAUUUGUUCAGUAAACAUAUGUUAAAGGCUACUAUCUGGUAUGUUCUACUCUACUGUAUAUAAACUCUGAGACAUUGUUGAAAAGGGUACCGCUCAUGAGAAGCUCUUAAUCUGAUUGGAGCCGUCAUGCCAGAGUCAAGGAGGAAAAGAGCAUGAUCCUUGGAAGUCAGACUGUGGGUCGGGACCUGACUUCACCACUUGCUUGCUUUGUGGCCAAGGUCACGUUGCCUAACCUCUCUGAAGUGUCCAAGUUCUCAAGUAUACAAAGGUGGUUAAUAAGUCUCACUUCAUAAGGCUGAGAUAAUGUACAUUAAGGAUACAUAACAGGUGCUCAAUAGUGUUACUUUCUUUAUACUUUUAUUGACUAAUUUUAUACUCUUGCUAUGUUUUCAAUACAUAAGCUGAUCUUGAUUCUUAAUAUCUGUUUAGUGAAUCUGAGUUAGUGUAGACAGUAAAUUAGAUGAUUCAGAUUCACAGUCCCCUUUUUUUCCCCUUUACUCUUUGCUCCUUCUUAGUAUGAUGUGAUAUUAAGUGUCAAUCCAUCUCUGAGGCCAAGAGCAUCCUCUUCUACCUCUGACUGAUUGCAGGUAGAGACCUCUCAUCUCUUUUGUCCUGGUCAUGUGCAUCAUGAUCCUUGGGAACUUCCAUGAGCCUCUACAGAUCUGUAAACACCUGUGAAUACAUUAUUACCUUAUGAAACAAGGAGGCAUUCUAAAAACAACACUGUUUCAGUCUGUUUUUUUUUUUGUUGUUGUUGUUGUUGCUGUGACCAAAAGACCUGACCCCCCCAAAAAAAAUGUAGAGGAGGAAAAGCUUAUUUGAGGUUCAUAGUUUCAGAGGUUGCUGUCCGUAGAUGGCUGACUCCAUUCCUCUGGAACUGACGUGAGGCAGAACAUCUUGGUGGGAGGACUCGGAGGAGGAAAGCAGCUCAGGACAUGGCACCAGGAAGCAGAGAGAGCUCCACUCACCAGGGAUAAAACAUAAACCCCAAAGGCAUAUCCACAGUGACCUAGCUAUUUGCCUGCGAUUAUAACCCAAUUAAUCUCUCUCAGUGGAUUAAUUCUUCUGAUGCAAUGAUCAUGAGGGUUACAUGAAAUAACAUGUGGAGGACACUUGGUGCACUACCUAGCAAACAGCAGGUGCUCCAUGUAUGGCAUCAGUUGUUACUACAGAGACGAACUGUAUUCAUUUGUUUUGUUUUUACUUACUACCACUUUACCUCACUCAAAAAAAAAAAAAAAGUUAGGGGUGGUUUACAGAAAAUUAAAAGAGAUUGGUUCCUCAGUCCUGUUGCAGCUCCAGCUAUCCUUUGAUCAGGAUUAUAAUGAGUAGAGAUCAAAGAAACAAGAAGAUAAGAGUGGGGCUGGGGACAUAGCUCAGUUGGUAGAGUGCUUGCCUUGCAUGCACAAGGCCCUGGGUUCAAUCCCCAGCACAAAAAAAAAAAAAAAAAAGAUAAGAGUGAAUUAGAUGAGAAAAAAAAUGUAGCAAGUGUAAAAUAAAUGGGAAAAUAUGCGUAGCUAAAUAUUUAAAAGCAUAUAAUUUAGCUACCUGGUCUCUGGCUUGUUUUAGGGAGGCCUUAAGCGGUUUAUGAAGAUAUGUACACAUCACAAUGCAAAAUUAAAAGAACUAACACUUGCACUUAUGUCCUGAGUGCUUCUCCAGAGGAAAUUGUUAGACUCAUGAAUUUAAAACAAACAAAUGUCAAAAAAUUAAUAGUAAAAAUAAAAGUGUGAAUUCAUAAAAAGAAAAUUAAAUAGACUGGAGCUUCUACUUGUGUGCUCCCUGUGCACAGGAAUGGCCCUGAUACCUGUCAAGGGCAUAAAAACUAAUGAAGGUGAAUUGAAAUAGUUGAGCAUGGCCAUCUGGCUUUGUGCUUAACUUGUGCAGAUCCUCUUCUGCUUCUGACUUCCCCUCUUUCUCGUUCUGCUCCUGCCCUCUGGUUUGUGCAUUACCAUCCUUCCACCUUGACCUCAGAAGCAUCUCUCAGGGCUUUGGCUCAGGACCCCUCCAGCAUUGUUUCUGGCUGCUCCAACUUGGGUUCCUGGAAUCCGAAUCCCUGCUUGCACAGCCAUGUUGGUCUCCUUUAUGCAAGUGUCCGUUUUACCACCCAGCCGCCUGUCAGUGUGGAAUCUGGGCUCUGUCCUGCAGGUCUCCUCUGACUGCAUAUCAGGCCCUGGGCUACUUGGUGCACAUUUGGUGGUUUCACUAAGUCACCAGCUGGUUUGUCAACCUGCAGAUGGGACAUUGUGAGGCGUUACUCAAGGGAAACCACUUUAUAAAACAUUCUCAGGUUUCUGUUAAAUAACAGUUAGAUGUAGUUAGAUGCAGGAAGGUUUCCUUCUUCAUUGCAAAACAAUUACAACCCCAACAGCACAAGCAGCAGUAACAAUAUUAUCUUCAGUUUUUGAGCACUUCUGUGCUGGGCAUUGUGGUAGACAUUUUUAUGUUUUCAAAAAAAAUCCUGUGAGUCAAGGACAGUUUUUAACAUCAUUCUACAGAUAGCAGACUCAGGUUCAGAAACUCAGAUUAGGUGCUUGUCCCCAGGUCACCUAAGUAGUAGAGUUUAAGUGGCAUUAACACCUAAGUCUUCCUGACUCUGAAGGCCAUAUCUCCACACGACCCCCCUUUCAGGUUCACUCAGCGGCAUCCACAGCAGCCAAGAGAGAUGGGAAGGGGCUGGAUUCCCACUGUCUCCUUUGAAGUCAUGUCCCCAGUGUCCUAGUAUCUCCCCGAGGCCCCAUCUUUUCAGAGUCCCACCAGUUCCUAGAGGCGCCAAGCUGGGGACGGAGACAUUGACACGGGUCCAAAGUGCAGCCGUCAGUAUUUCCCAAAGCUUGCUCUUCCCGUGUCUGUGCGCUCUUCACUCAUGUAGCACUUGUUCAUUUAAUAUGUACUGCCCAUGCCCUGGUGCCAGGCGCUCUGCCAGGCGCUGGGGAGUAGCAUUUGCUUGUUUGCGGCCAGUCCCUCCACCUUCCUCAGGCCUUCCUCCCAUCCAUCUGCCAUCCCCCUGCCUGUCAAUCAUCCCCCCUCUUUCUACUGCUGCUUCAUUCGGACUCAGUCUACAAGAAAGUGCCCAAAUCAUUUCCACCUCUCCCCUCCCUUUCUUUCUAUCACCUUUGUUCUCUUCUGCUCAAAAGAGCUUCCAGAGCAUGGCCUACAAUUACAGCCUCCUGUCUGCACCUUCACUUCCAGUCCCCUCGGUCUGGCUCCAGCCCCUCACUCUCCCAGAACUGCACAGCAAAAUGCCCAGUCCCUCCAGCAAACCUUCUGGGUCUCCUGUCCCAGGCCUCCAGCCACCUUGGGUAGCAUCGGUCCCUCUCUCCUCCUCUGAAAUCUUCUGAAAGGGCUUUCCACGUCUUCCUUAAAGACUGCCCCUCUCUACCCUGUACGUAAACGAGGCCUGUCUUCAAGCUCCCCUCUGCCCUCUGCUCUUGAUUCCUGAAGGUUCUUGCCGGUGCACUUGAACCCUCGUAGGUGCUGGUGCACCUCUACAUUCCAGUCAUGCCUCCCUUCCCUCCUUUCAUAUUUCCCACGUCUGGUGCUGGUUAGUGGGAAAACAAGCGGGCGACAAACAAGUCCCAGCCGCUGCUCUCAGGAACUUUACUCUGGUGGGAAAGACUGAGAACUGUAAUAUAAAAAAGAUUUUUCAUUUAUGAACAAUAAUGGUAUGAGGACAUGCAAUAAGGAUUUUUUCCCAUAGGAAAUGAGAGUCAGAUGGAGACUGAAGGAAGAAUGUGAGGUAAGGAGGCAAAGAGUUAGAGGAUGGAGGUGUGGAGAUGUUCUCAGUAGAAGGAACAGCCUGUGCAAAGGCCCUGGGGAGAGGAAGCCCUGGCAUUACUGAGGGAGGCGGGAGUGGCUUCCAUAGGGAACAGUGAGGCACUAGUGAGGCAGGAGUGGCCAGGCAGGGCCUGCUGGGUCAGACAAGGGUUCUGGUAUUUAUCCAAUGAGUACCUGGGAAAUUGGUUGAGGAUUUAAGUGGAGAGGAGACAUGAUCUGGUUUUAAUUUUGUCUUAGAAUGUGAAGAAUGGGGAAGAGAAGAAUAUAUAGAUGUACAUUCAGAGACUUGAGGUGAUGUGGCUUGUUAGUAAAGGCAAGAACAGAGACCAUAGGUCACUUUACAGACAGUCUAUCAAUGUGCUUGAAAUAACUCAAUUGGUCUGCGUAAGGGGAGCAAUUAUAUGAGCUGUGUUCCUUCCUCUGAAGAAGGGACUUUGUCGUAUGGCACCACUCCUGAGGCAGCAUUUUUGCUGCGUAUGGGCUGUUCUCUAUCGUUCCUCUGUCAGUGUUGAAUCACAAACCAGUGGAUUGCACAAGUCUUGAGGCUGAAUCCACCGGACAGCUGCACCCCAGAUCUCUGUCCAGCUGGGCUCACCGUGCCCCCUCCAGGGGGCCAAAGUUGGUACCUAGACACCAGUUGGCACCAGCUCCUGGGGAAGUGUGGCCACCCUCCCUCCCUCUUCAGCCUCAUAAGAUGAUAGUGACUCUUUGCACUGAGGCUGUGAUACCAGAGGUCCCUCUGGGUCACACGCAGUCUGGGUCACAUAAGCCACUUUUAACUGCUAGCAGAAGUGCUGCAUGGGUGUGUUUUUACUUAUUUCACUUCACCUCCAAAAUGUGGCGUGGAGCUGGAAUCGGAAUGUAAAAUGCAUCUUUCAUUUUUCCUAUGACACUCCUCCCCCUCAGUUAUGUGGAUAGAUGAGGAGCUCCGCAACUACUGGGUGAAUGAAUGUGCAGUCUAUUUCAGGAAGCCUUACCUUGCAAAGAAACCACAGCAGCGAGACAAUGAGCAGCGGACUGAGAGCAUGCUGGAGAAAUCCUAAACUCAUGAAAGGAAUGGAGGGCACUGUUGGGAUAUAGCACGAGAAGAGAAGGGAAUCAGAGGGUAUCUGGCAGUGAGGGUAUCACAUGGAGUGUGAGAGGGGAAUAGCUGCCUGGUGUUAUCAGAUUUGGAGGAAGAAAAGCAUGUUCAAAAAAGAUUUUAGGGCUGGGGAUGUGGCUCAAGCGGUAGCGCGCUCACCUGGCAUGCGUGCGGCCCGGGUUCGAUCCUCAGCACCACAUACAAACAAGGAUGUUGUGUCCGCUGAUAACUAAGAAAAAAAAAUAUUAAAAUUCUCUCUCUCUUAAAAAAAAAGAUUUUAAAGAAAUCUUGCAGCAUGUUCUGUGGGGGUAAUUCCUCUUUUAAGUUCUUUCAAAAGCCUCAUGUUCUUCAAGGUCUUUGCAGUUAGAUUUGUGCCUUUAUUACAUGGUGGAGAGACAGAGGCACGUCUUCUGGUUUACAAACCCAUGGAAGUGUGUGGACUGCCUCUCUGCUCUCCGCGGUGUGGUGGGGUCUUCGGUUGAUGCGAAGCUUCCUCCGUGUGGCAGGCUAGGGGUGGAAGCUCAGCACAUGUCCGGCAGUUCAUUCUGAGCUUCCCCAAAUUUAUCGGUGGGACUUCAGAAUUGGCGGGCAUCUUGGAGAUCAUUUUACAAAUGAGGAAAUUGAGACUUACCAGGAGUGAUCGCAUGAUAUCACACAAGCCCUCAAGUAAAGGCAACAACUCGAACUUGAUAUUCUUAAUCCCUGGGACAAAGAGCUCUUCCUUUUCUGGUGUCUUUUUCCCAGUGCUGCUCAUGUCCUUAGGUUUAAUAGCUCUAAUGGACUUGAAUAAGAAACUCCUUUUGUAUGUUAAGACUCUUUUGAUCAUAAACAACAAAAACAGCUUUUAGCUAACGUAAGCAACAAGAGGAAUGCUGGGGUGAUUCACGGAUGGAGGAGGCGCAAAACCCCAGGCUGUGAGUGUCAGGCCUGGCAGCUGCCGGACAGCCAAGCUGCUGUAUGGUUUGCACACUGAUGGCCUCCAUCUGUGAGGUUUGGGGCCUGUAUUAAUCAUGUAGUUCUUUGUGUGUGUGUGUGUGUGUGUGUGUGUGUAUGUGUGGUGCUGGGGAUUGCCCCCAGGGACUUAUGCAUGUGAGACAAGCACUCUACCAACUGAGCUAUAUCCCCAGCCCUCACGUGAUCCUUAAAAAAUAUUUUCCUCUUUUAAAUCUUCAUCUAAGGGCAUCUGAAGAAUAAAAAAUGCUUCAGUGAUUCUCGUUUGUUUCAAAUAAUCAGAACUUUUGUUGAUGACAAAGAGAGUUUUGGCCACUUUGUGGAUUAGAUUGAUUCAGUACUUUUAUGAACUGAAUGUGUCAUAUCACUCCCUCACUCCCAAGCUUUAGCGGUCAGAGAUGGGACGCUGAGAAGUAAUGGGGUUCAAGGAGGUUGUGAGGGUGGGGUCCUCGUGGUGGGGUUAAUGGGAGACAUAGGCAGCUCUUUCUCCCUCUGUGCCAUGAGAGGCAGCUGUGAGAAGGCGCCACCACCAGGAACUGGACGCACUGGCAUCUCCAUCGUAGACGCUGAUCCUCAGAACUCUGUGGAAUAAAGGUCUGAAACUGGUCGUAUGAAAGCAUCCCUGCCGGGUCACUGGCCGGUUAGGUCACAGCGCCAAGACAGUUAAGGAACCCGAGCACUGGGCCCUUGUCUGGGUGCCCAAGGGCACUGUAGGUUCUGAGACUGAACCGUGAUUACCCGUUGCUGGUCAGCAGGGCCAGUGUGCAGGUAGGCACUACAGCAGUUUCUCUGUCACUCUGGUCAGCUGGACCAGCGUGUGUGAUUACAAGUGCGUCCGCCUGCCCUGCCAUGUCGGUACUUGAGAAGGGCAAAGCUUCGCAGCUGGGCGAACCCUCCCUGCGGCUUCUGGCAGAGGUGGGAAGCAGGGCAGUGGCCAGGAGGGACCUUCUCUCUGCUGUCUUGGGGGCUGUGCCUGUGCUAUUAGCCUCAUAGCUUCUGUGUCUACAGCCACCUUCUCCCCACUUAAUGCACAUUGUUCAUAAUGUCAUACCCUUUAUAUCUUCAUGAUCAGGUCAUUUUAAAAAAUUGAAAAUAAAAGUAACUGUAAAAUAUAGAUAACAUAAAAUUUGUCAUCUCAGACGUUUUAGGUUUAUAGCUCAGUCGUGUUGAGGGUGUUCACCAUGUUGUGUAAACAACCUCCAGAAGUCAUCUUGUAAAACUGAAACUCCAUUCCCACUGAAGAGAGUAUCCCAAUCCCCCUGCCCCAGUCCCUGACACCAUUCUACUUCUCUCUGGUUUUGACUACUCCAGGCACCUCCUAGGAAGGGGAUGAUACACUAUUUGUCUUUUUAUUACGAAUGGCUUUCACUUAGCACAAUGUCUUCAAGGAUCAUGCCAGAUCAUAUGGCCAUCCCACAUUUUGUUUGUCCAUUUGUUGGUCAGGGGACACCUGGGUUGCUUCCACCUUUGGGCUAUUUUGAAUAAUGCUGCUCUCCAUCUGGGUGUGCAAAUCAACUGUGUCAUCCUUUGAAGGAAGGCCCAGCUCCUGGGGCCUCCCUGCCUUUCUCCCAUCUAGACAGCAACAACAUGACAGGAAAGAAGGUUUUUUAAAGGUGACUCUGAAUAUUUUCUCAGAAGUGUUGCCCCUCAGUUUCUUCUUCAUUGCUUGGCUCCAGGGAGAGGAGGGAAUCAAGCGGAAGCUUGAGUGUGGAAAGAGAAGGAGAAGCUCCCAGAGUCUCUUGUAAGGGAAACAAUCAGAGCCAAAGACUUCACCGCAAAGGAGGCCCCAGAAACCCUGGUCAGGGCAGGAGGUGAGGCAGACUAACAGGUGUGAAACUUCUGGCUCCUUCAGCUCCCUUUGCCAGAGGAGCAGGACAAGCUGUCAGGAACAGCGGCCCAGGAGGGUGCAUGGCUGGGCACAAGGCAGCUUCUCGUGCACAGGUGGAGGAAGAGGGGCCGGGAGAGGGGAGAAGAGUGCAGUGGCACCUGCAGGCCUGGGGAGUGGAAGGGAAAGCAAACAAUAUCUGAGGAUAUUUCUGGGGAGCUUUUUGGGCACUGAGAUGUGUUAAGACCCCCAUGCUCAUCUCCCUUUCUAAUUACUUACACUUUUCUUUAGUGCUACUAUGAGUAAUUUAUGUUUCCUUUGACUGCAACUCCAUGCAGGUGCGGGGCCAUAUGGGGCUUCCCAGGAUUUAUUAAAUGCUGUGUUGAGAUAACAUGAGAUGGGAUUUCACCCAGUUCUUCCUCUGUUAAACCUCAUAAACACACUGAUACUCUUCUAGUUACAAAACAUAAUAUUUCCUCCAUUUUCUCUUUGUGAGUGGUUAGCUUAGGGAAUAUUUCUUAGCUCUUGGUCUGAUAUUUGAGGUCACAUAUUCAAAACACUAUUAAAGAAACUGUUUUCAUUGGUGGAGAAGCCGUGGAGGACUUGGGAGGAGGAUUUAGGAAGCAGAGCAGGGGAGAGCCUGGGAGUUCCCGUGCCAGCUCUGCACUUCCUCUCCCCCUUCGCACCACGCACCCACCGACUUCUGCAGUGCUCUCUGCAGAAGAGCCACCAUGCACUUCCCCUGCUCUUUUGAAAGACAUAUCUGCAGAUCAGACUUUAGUAUCUACAUAUCUGGGUCCUAUCAUGAAUUCCAAUUAAUAUUUCCUUUGAGAUAUGAGACAUUCCCUUAUUGCUUCAUAGCCUCCAUCUCUAGCAAUCAUUUUGAGCUAUUUGUUUGAUUUCAGGGAUGACUGGUCUCCAGAAAUGUUGUUUCCAUUAAAGCCAGUCAUUUCAAGCUUGCAGCAUUUAAUAAUUAUCAAAGUCUUCCAUUCAGAAAAAUCUCCCCAGGACAUGACUAUCAGAUUAGGAGAAGACAGCUCUAGAAAAGCCGACAUGAUAGCGCUCUGUGUUUGUGGGCAUGAGGGCAUCCUACAGAAGAGUUUAGGCUGGCAUAGAAAUACUUUCUUACUUGGUGUUUUAAAUCUGGUUUCAGUCCCUCCUUCUAUUUGACAAUAAUACCUUUUUAGUUCCAGUUAGCAGCAUUGAUAGAAUCAUGUGAUUACUUUGUUUUCUAUUAGUGCCCAAUAAUAUAUAAAUUUUUUUCCAAUGUGGAUUUCACCCUUAUUUCAGGUAGACUAUAAGGGGUUGAAACCUUUACUUUCAUUAUGUCCUUAUUCCCUCACCCUUUUACUAGUUCUACCUGCUUUAUUUAGAAGAUGACAGGUCAAUUAUUUUUCAUUCAUUAUUGUAUCAGUCAGGGUUCUCUAGAGGAACAGAAUCAAAAGGAAGUAUAAUGAUAAAAAGGGGACUUAUUUGGUUGGCUUAUGUGACCAGAAGCUGGACAGUCCACAGUGGCCAUCUGUAGGCUGGAGAGCUGGAAGAACCAGUAGUUGCGCCGUCCAAGAGACGGAAGCCCCAGAAAAAGAGGGAUCGACUGUGCUACCCCAGUCUGAGACCUAAGCCUUCUGGAGAAUCACUGUCAGAGUCGGCUUUGGAAGAGUGAAGAAGUGAGAGUCCAAUAUCCUCAGAUGAUCACAGAAGCAAUCAAGAACCCAUUCAAGAAGAAUGGAGCUUGCAUCUGCUGUUGCUACUUUGUUCUUCCAACUUUUAUUCCAUCCAAGCCACCACCCUAUUGGUUGGUGCUGCCCAUGCUUAGGGAGGGUCUCCAUUUCAGUUGGCUGUCCCACAUGCCAAUCAUUCCUAGACACAUUCUCAUCAACACACCCAUAAUUAUCUUAAUCUUCAACAUCUCUUAAUCCAAUCAAGUUGAAAUUUCAAAUUAACCAUUACAAUCAUAUCCCAGCUUUGUUCCCUUAUUUCUACUAUUUCUGAAUCAAUAAGAAUGAUACUCUUCUUUGUUAUUGGAGGACAACAAGCUUUGAGCAAUAUAUCCUGAGGUUUUGGUUUCUUUUUAUGUGUGUUUUCCUUGUUUCAGUUCUUUGGUGGCAAAGACUAUCUACCUUUCCUAUUUCUUGUGGGAAAUCCAUUCAUGUGUUCUCUGCUGGCACUAAUGCUUUCACUUUUUGAUUUCACAAGUGGGCACAACCAAGCCCUGAAGAGUCCUUUACAAGAAUUUUGCAGAAACAAACAGGAGAGAAGCACAGGUCCUUCCCAUCCUAGGAUCAUUAGUUGUAAAAAUGAUAUAAACUGAAACUCCUGGUUAUCACCACGUGGGGAAAACCUGCCUGAGCAUGAAGCUGAGACAGAAGGGCAGAGCUGAAAGAUUAAGACAAGCAGAUGUUCCUGAGGAUGUCCUUGAGCCUCUUCAUCUUGACCCAUCUAAGUCUGCUCUCUCCCUUGCACUUCCAGCCACAUGGGGCAAUACCAUCCCAUCUUCUGUGUCCUCUAGCUUGAGUUGAUUCCCUGUCAUUUGCAGCUGAAAGUGUCCUAAGUGGUAUAGCUGUCAGGCAUGUCAUCCACGGAAACUGUGUUAGUCAGCUUUUCGUUGCUGUGACCAAAAUACCUGACAGGGACAACUUAGAGGAAGAAAGUUUAUUUGGCUCACAGUUUCAGAGAUUCAGUACUUCAUGGGAUGACUCCAUUGCUUUGGACCCAAGAUAAGAGAGAACAUCAUGGUGGAGGAGCAUGGCUCUAUUCAUGACAGCCAGGAAACGGAGAAAGAGAGGGGAAGUGGUCCCAGGGAAGAUGAGCCCUGCCAGGGCAUUCCUCUAGGGACCCACCUUCUGGAGCCACACCUCCUCUACCUUGAGUUACUACCCAGUCAGUCCAUUCAAACUACGAUAGACUGAGUAGAUCACAGCUCCCAUAAUCUAAUCAUCUCACCUUUGAAUACUCCUGCAUGAAGCUUUUGUGGAUGGUACCUCAUAUCCAGACCAUAAGAGAAGCUUUUCUAUAUUUGAUUUGGUCACUUAUAUAAUUUACUUCUCUUAGAUUCUUCAAUGUUAGCUAGUCUAGUGGUCUGCAUGGAGUAGACAAUGGCUGAGACAUCCACCUUAUAUAUAGGGGAGGAGGAAAGAGAUUUUUAGUGAGUUGGGAAGGUCUAAUGGGUUGCCAGAUAAAAUAUAGGCUGUCCAGUUAAAUUUGAAUUUCAGGCAACUAAACAAUAUUUAACAUAAAUUUGUACCACCCAGUAUGUGGUACAUAUUUAUAACCCCAACAUUACUGUUUAUGUGAGAUUCAAAUUUGAGUGUUCUGAAUUUUACCUGGAAAACUUAGUCUCAUCAAAAAAACUACAUUUUAAGAAUGCACUUGAAAAAAAUAUUAUGAGGCUACUUAAGUUAGGAGAGCAUUUUAUACGAGUAUCUUUCAUACAUACCAUCUGAAAUUCAAAUUUAACUGGUAUCCUGUGUUUUUAUUGGCUAAAUCUGGUUACUUUAAUCCCCCGCCAACCCAAAUUGUUUUCCUAAUGCAGAUGACACCAUGCCUAAAUUCUGGUUUCCAAGAGCUAUCUUGUCUUCCUGUUCAUGGCCAAAGAAGAAAUGUCUGGGUUCAAGCCUCUUCAAACUCCCCUCUCUAGAAGGGUGUUUGCAGGGGUAGGUUUUGCAGUUAAUGAAGUUCCCGUGGCCAGCAUGGAGGGGAAGGCAGCUCAGGAGGAUCGGUGUUUCCUGAAGGCCUCUUCUUGGCCUUUGGAGAGAAAAUUCAUGUUCAUUGACUCAUUUAAUUCUGUGACUAUCAUGUGAAAUAGAGAUAUUCCAUUCAUCCCCUCUUUAAAAAUACUGAAGCUGGGACUCCGAGUGGUGAAGUGAUGUGCCUCGGACCACAUACUGAGGAAGUAACUCCAAGUGUGUCUGACUGUAAGCCCAAGCUCUUUCUAUUAUAUCCGAAGAGCUCUUUAUGCAGGUUCGGUUUCCUGGGGAGAAGAUAGUGCCAGAGAGGGACAUUCUAGGGCACUGAGACACAGAGCCAGCAGAGGGACAGUGGCUGCCUCUGUCCCAGCCUUGGGCCAGCAAAUCUGUGAUCUUCACCCUGCCCACACCUGGCCUGGGAUGAGUGGACACUUUGACCACGUUUGUCUUCUGUGCCCACUUUCCUUGGGAUAGCAAUGAAAGCAAAGCAGAUAGCCCUCAAACAUAUUAAAAAUGUUCCAAUUCACUCAUUAUUAGGGAAAUGGAAAAGAAGACUUUAUAUGAUACUCUUUGUCACCCAUCAGAUUAACAAAGAUUAAAAAGUCUCAUGCUACAUCCUGUUAGCAAGUUUGUGGGGAAAGGGGUGUGUGCUGCUGGUAGGAAACAAACUGGUAUAGCUUCUCUGGAGGGGAGUUUGACUAUACUUCCAGAACCAUCCAUGCACUUACCUUUUGAUCCAGCAAACUCACUCUGCAAUCUACCAUGAAGAUAGACCUCAGAAAUCUGAAAAUACACAUGUACCAGUUUCUUCAUGAAAGCAACAUUUGCAGUUGUGGAAUGUUAGUUUAGUUAAUGGUAUUGUACCCAUGUUCAUUUCCUGAGUUCAUAAUUUUAUUAUAGUUAUGUAAGAUGUUAACAUUUAGGCAAGCUGGGUGAAGGAUACUAUACUAUACUCAUAACUUCUCUGUAAGUUUAAACUUAGGUCAAAAUAAAAAGUUAAAACAACAAAAAUGGCAAUUAGCAAAGUAGAUUUGCCAUCGCCUGAUGUGAGACAUGAAAUCAGGGCUGGGUCAGCAGUAAAUGGCUGUAUCUGUCCAGGUACCUCCUAUGGGGUCUGGUGCAUCCUGGUGUGGGGCUGACCAGACACUGGAGUGUUGGCGUCUUGGCCACAGGAAGAGAGAGGGGAAGUGGGAGACAGUCAUCAGCCAGAUCUUUACUGAGGCUUUGAGUAGUGGUAUUCUCUUUAGGGGCAAAUCUUAGGGACACCAGAUAGCUGAUGUCUAGGCUCAAAUUAAGUCAGUGACAGAUGUCCUUGGAAGUAGUUCUGUUACUUGAAAGUUCCAUCUCACAUGUAUGAGAGAUCUCUUGUCCUUUCCCAAGUCACUGGUGAUCUGUAUUGUCUAUUCAACUACCUUGAACUAUCACCACCCCCUGGUCAGAUCGCAUUUUCAGUCCUACUCAUAGAAAAGCUGUGAAAGGUUUAGGAUGAAGAAUCAGUUCUCUCUCCUGAAUAACUUGCUCAAAAAUUCAGGGUUCCUAUUUUUAAAAGAGCAUGAAGUCGAUAGAUGAAUCAGGAUGUUUUUAGUCAUGGUGACUUAUACGUCGCAUAACAGUUUUCUCGUUUCCAGUUUAUGCUUUAAAGGAAAACAUAGAUUAGAUGCUUUUCAUUUGUUGUUAUGAAUAACUUUGCCAGAGCUUGGCUUAGGGCUUCAGGGAUACCUCAUGAAAAUAUUAAGCCUCUGAUCAUGUGGAGCUAGCAUGCGUUAAUGAAUGUGUAGGGAAAUGCUUUAACCAUGUAGUGUGCCAGAAUUCUUGUCAUGCUCUGUUUCCCACUUGUUGGAGUCAACCCAGAGACAGGUGGGCCCAGUCAAUGUGUCCCUGCUUGUAGUGAGGAGUGCAACCUCACCAAGCCCCCACCCUUGGACACCUGCAUGAGCUAGGUACCAUGUUCAGGCCGAUAGCUCAUUCCUCACUCCUAUAAUCCUGAUGAGACUCAGAGAAAUUCAAUACCUUUCCCAAGGUCACAAGUCUAACAGACAGUGAAGCUGGGGUUUGAGUCUGUCUGGUCCAAGUCCAGACCCCUUUUAUUACACACCACCCAGCAGAAGAAAACCUCCUUGUCCAACUCUGCCACUCUGCUGUGGCCCAACUCUGCUCACGUUUGGGGGUGAGUAUGGUGGGGGCCUUUCUACCAUUGCACGCACCUUGUCUGUGUGCUAAAAUCUGAAGCAUCAUUUAGUGUUCUCGCAGAAGCUUGCUAAUGACUUCCUAUGCAGAGAAGUCAUUUUGAAAGAAGCCUCAUCUGCUGACUUUUAUAGGAUUGGUCUGUGCUGGGAGCCCCGGAGCAAAGCCAGCCUCUGUACCUCCUAACUUUAGAACCCCAUGACCUGACAUGACAGGGAGAGAAAGCUAAAUCUACCCUCCUUUCUCUCUGAGGGAAGGUUCCACUUGUGUUUUGAAAAGAGCACCAGCUUGGAACCACACCAGACGUGAAUUCUGUCAUCACUGCAUUUUCUUGGAUAAGGGAAUUCAUCUCUUCAUACUUUUUUUUUUUUAAUAAAAUCAUUGUUUCUCAUAGAAUUAUUGUGAGAAUUUAAUGACAUAACAGAAAAAAAAUGCCUAGCACACAGUAGGCAUGGAAUAAAAGGUUGUAAUUAUUUUGCUAAGCAUGAAUAAUUCUCCAUAUAGCAUUUCCCCACUUAUUUCCUCUACAGUGCUCAAACUAUUUCUAAUGAAAAGAACAAAGUUGCAAAGCACGCCACCUCUUAAAAUCACUUAUUUCUAGAGGAUGAAAAUUCUGCCAAGGAAGAAAAUGGAAGCUCUCCCAAGCCUUUGUGCAGAUUUUAUUUGUAUGCAAAAGCAAGCAAGACUUCUUUGUUUGGAAGAUAAAUUUCAUUCUAAUAGUACCAAUGAAUCUUUCAAAAUUUCAUAAUUGCCAUUCCUAGCAUGCUCCAAACUGAAAGAUAACAAAAGAAUUUGGUGGCCAGUUCAGAUUGGAUUUGGAGAUGGAUGUGCAUUUAAAAAUGCUUCAGCUGCUCUCUGAGUCAUUCCAGUCCAUUGAGACAUGCUCAUGAAUUGUAUCGUGGAGUCAGCAACAUCAGCCCUGCCUUGCCCCAGCCAGUGGUACUGGGAUAGCAAGGUGAGACAAGUCAGGCCCAGCGGGACCCUGAGCGUGAGCACCCUGCCCACCUUCCUGGCUAGCCCUGCCUUUUGUUACCUAAUGCUAUUAUUUGGGCAGUGCUGUAGUGUGUCCCCUAAGGGUUCAUGUAUAGGAGGCUUGGUUCCCAGUGUGGUUAUGUUAAGAGCUAUUGAGACCAUUAAGAGACGGGACCUAGUCAAUAUUGACUAGGUCAUUCAAGGGUGCUGCCCUCUGAACAGAUUAAUGUAGUUCUUAUGGGACCCUGAGUUAGUUCUUGGAAAGGGUUAGUUAUGAAAAGAGACAGUCCCUUCCUCUGCUCUGGCAUGCUGUCUCAUCAUGUGACUGAUAUGUGAUUGAUAUGUGAUCGCUCCCUCUUGCUGUCCACCAUGAUAGUAGUGUAGGGAGUCUUUCUAGAGCUGGUGUCAUUGUCAGUGUCAUGUUUGGAUUUUCAGUCUCAAACUCUGUGCUAAAUAAACCUCUUUUAUUUAUAAGUUACCCAGCCUCAGGUAUUUUAUUAUAACAACAACAACAAAAGACUAAUACACUUAUGUGUACAAACAUGGGGAAUGUUUCACGACCUGAAACACAUUAUUUACAUUUAUUGUUUCAAAUAAUCCUCUCAAUAUUACUUGAGAAUGAAUAUGACCAGUUAUUGUCCUCUUUUGUAAAUGAAAAAAACAAGUUCUAGGAGGUUUUUUCGAAUUGGCCUAGUGAUGAUGAGUGUCUUAUUCUAAGGGUUUAAGCUUCGUCAUCAGACAGCAGAAGCCUCGGGGUCAUGUAGAAUUUUCUGUGUGUCUUCUUCUUCUUCCCCCUUCUUCCCUCUCCUUCUGUUCAUUUUCCUCUUUCUUAGCAUCUUCUGAUAAAAUAAAUUUAAAAUAUGGUAGGCAAAUUCUUUUUUUUUUUUUAAAUCUCUUUUAUUUAUUUUUUAUUGUGGGUUGUUCAAAACAUUACAAAUUUCUUGACAUAUCAUAUUCCACACUUUGAUUCAAGUGGGUUAUGAACUCCCACCUUCACCCCAUACACAGAUUGCAGAAUCACAUCAGUUACACAUCCAUUGAUUUACAUAUUGCCAUACUAGUGUCUGUUGUGCUCCGCUGCCUUUCCCAUCCUCCACCCUCCCCCCCCCCCACCGCUCCCCUCCCCUCCCCUCCUCUCUCUCUACCCCCUCCACUGUAUAACCCUGAGGGUCUCCUUCCAUUACCAUGCAAUUUCCCUUCUCUCUCCCUUUCCCUCCCACCUCUCAUCCCUGUUAAAUGUUAAUCUUCUUCUCCUGCUCUUCGUCCCUACUCUGAUCUUAGUUACUCUCCUUAUAUCAAAGAAGACAUUUGGCAUUUGUUUUUUAGGGAUUGGCUAGCUUCACUUAGCAUAAUCUGCUCUAAUGCCAUCCAUUUCCCUGUAAAUUCUAUGAUUUUGUCAUUUUUUAAUGCAGAGUAAUACUCCAUUGUGUAUAAAUGCCACAUUUUUUUUAUCCAUUCGUCUAUUGAAGGGCAUCUAGGUUGGUUCCACAGUCUUGCUAUUGUGAACUGUGCUGCUAUGAACAUCGAUGUAGCAGUGUCCCUGUAGCAUGCUCUUUUUAGGUCUUUAGGGAAUAGACCAAGAAGGGGAAUAGCUGGGUCAAAUGGUGGCUCCAUUCCCAGCUUUCCAAGAAAUCUCCAUACUGCUUUCCAAAUUGGCUGCACCAAUCUGCAGUCCCACCAGCAAUGUACAAGUGUACCCUUUUCCCCACAUCCUCGCCAGCACUUGUUGUUGUUUGACUUCCUAAUGGCUGCCAAUAUUACUGGAGUGAGAUGGUAUCUUAGGGUGGUUUUGAUUUGCAUUUCUCUGACAGCUAGANGUAGUUUUCAUUGUAUAAGUCUUUCACCUCUUUUGUUAGGUUGAUUCCCAAGUAUUUUAUUUUUUUUGAAGAUAUUUUGAAUGGAGUGGUUGUCCUCAUUUCCAUUUCAGAGGAUUUGUCGCUGAUAUACAGGAAUGCCUUUGAUUUAUGCGUGUUGAUUUUAAAUCCUGCCACUUUGCUGAAUUCAUUUAUUAGCUCUAAUAGUUUCUUUGUAGAGCCUUUUGGGUCUGCUAGAUAUAGAAUCAUAUCAUCUGCAAAUAGUGAUAAUUUAAUUUCUUCUUUUCCUAUUUUUAUGCCUUUAAUUUCUUUCGUCUGUCUAAUUGCUCUGGCCAGUGUUUCGAGAACUAUGUUGAAGAGAAGUGGAGAGAGAGGGCAUCCCUGUCUUGUUCCAGAUUUUAGAGGGAAUGCCUUCAGUUUUUCUCCAUUCAGAAUAAUGCUAGCCUGAGGCUUAGCAUAGAUUGCUUUUACAAUAUUGAGGUAUGUUCCUGUUAUCCCUAGUUUUUCUAGAGUUUUGAACAUAAAGGGAUGCUGUACUUUGUCAAAUGCUUUUUCCGCAUCUAUCGAGAUGAUCAUAUGGUUCUUAUUUUUAAGUCUAUUGAUGUGGUGAAUAACAUUUAUUGAUUUCCGUAUAUUGAACCAGCCUUGCAUCCCAGGGAUGAAUCCUACUUGAUCAUGGUGUACAAUUUUUUUGAUAUGUUUUUGUAUCCGAUUCACCAGAAUUUUAUUGAGGAUUUUUGCAUCUAGGUUCAUUAGAGAUAUUGGUCUGUAGUUUUCUUUCUUUGAAGUGUCUUUGUCUGGUUUAGGUAUCAGGGUGAUGUUGGCCUCAUAGAAUGAAUUUGGAAGUUCUCCCUCCUUUUCUAUUUCCUGAAGUAGCUUGAAAAGUAUUGGUAUUAGUUCUUCUUUAAAGGUUUUGUAAAAUUCUGCUGUAUACCCAUCCGGUCCCGGGCUUUUCUUAGUUGGUAGUCUUUUUAUGGUUUCUUCUAUUUCCUCAAUUGAUAUUGGUCUGUUUAGGUUUUCUACAUCCUCCUGACUCAAUCUGGGCAGAUCAUAUGACUUAAGAAAUUUAUCUAUGCCUUCACUAUCUUCUAAUUUAUUGGAGUAUAAGGAUUCAAAAUAGUUUUUGAUUAUCUUCUGUAUUUCUGAAGUGUCUGUUGUGAUAUUGCCUUUUUCAUCCCGUAUGCUUGGUAGGCAAAUUCUUAAUAAUUUAUUGGAAAAUUUUGUUGUUGUUGUUGUUAUAAUAAAAUACCUGAGGCUGGGUAACUAGCUUAAGGAAAUGUCCUGGGACAUAGAAAAAAUAAGACAAAACAAAACAAAAGUUUGGAAAAUAAGAAAGAAAAAAGGAAAAUCCUUAUAGCCCCAGUCUAGGAUCGCUGGCAUCCAAAGUAUAGGUUUUCCACAAAAAGAAUAGAAGAGAAAAUAGAGAGGAAGAAAUUAUAAAAGGAAAAAGCUCAAGAAAAUUGAUUUUAAAUGAAGAAUAAAAUAUAUUUUGGUAUUGCAAGAGCCACAUAAUACCCAGCCCGAUGAGCAUAAAGAUGCCUAUUAAGGGAAAGCAUUGUCUUGGAGCAUUGGGAGUAAAAGGAAGCAUUCAACAAGUUCCCAAUAAAGGAGAGAAGCGUUCACAUAAAAAGGAACAAGAAUCAAAACUCUUACUUUUUAAAGUAGUAAUGGGAAACUAGAAGAUUAUGUGGUGGUAACUUCAAAUUUUUGAGAAACAUGAUUUCUAGUCUGUUAUUUAACAAUCAGCUAAUAUAUCAAUUAAGUGUGAGGACAUAAUAAAGAUCAUUUUAAACACAAAAGGACUUCUUGUGCUCUCUUUAUUAGGAAGUUACUAAAAGUUACGCCUCUUAAAGAUGAGAGGGUAAAACUUAAGGGAGACAAGAACGUGUGAUCCAGGAACCAGGAUUCUGGGAGAAGAAGGGGAAGGAACUUCCCACAAGACUGAUGGAGGGGCUCCCAGGACACAGUCCAAGCAGCAGGAAGUGCAGCCAGCCCAGAAGGAGGGAGGAAAUAGGCAUUGUAGGAAGUAGGCAGGUGUAGUGCACAGGGAGCCUAUGUGGAAGAAGGCUGCUGAGAUGACCAGCUGCAUGUGGCAUUGGGAGGAAUAUCACCUCCUGCUUGGAGCAUUUGGGGAAAAAUUAUAUGAUAGGUUUAUUUUAAAAAUCCAAAGUCAUGAUUUUUUUUUCCAGGAAAUAUGUAAAUUUAUCUGAGAAAGGAAACAUGCACUCUGUGUCUUGGCUGUGAAUAACUUUCCCAAGAUCCUAAUAAUGUGAAUGUUAAUUUAACUGAAAAAGUGAUAAAACGACUCGGAAGUGUGUGUGUGUGUGUGUGUGUGUGUGUGCGCGCACACGUCUAAUUCUGGUUUAAGAUAAACUUCCUUCUCCAUGGUGGUAAGUAAACAGAUCAUGUCUAACACAACACAUAAUCAGAAAGCACGAAAGCAUGUUGCUCAAAGUGUGGCAUCAAAUACAUCAGAUGGCUGAGAAUGGAAUGUGACAACCUCAGGGUUGUGGGAUCAAGGCAGGAGGACACAGCAGGAGACAGAGUCCCCUCAUCCUGCUUUAUUUAUCUCUAUUGCACUUUUAAUAAGUUUAAAAUGACCAGACAAAAUGCAGAACUGAAGUUUGAGGUUCUGAAAUGAAAAGACUUGAAGUUACCUCUGUCAUGUUGCCAUUUAAAGAUUAACCAACUCCCUCCUAAUUAUCGUUACUAGGCUCCAACAGUAUGACUUCUUUUAAAGCACCACACUCUCUUCCUGGAGCAGAGAUCAGAGAUGAGGUUUGAAAGGAAGAGGAUGAAAGAAACCACUGAUUAGUUCUCCCCAGGAAGCUGUCCUUGGCACAGACUGAUGCACCAUGGAGACUUGCAGAGGUGUGACAAGCCAUGCUCAUCAGGAGUUGUUCAUUUAGGUAUGAUGCCACUGCAAGGGGUUUACAGACACGACCUAUAUAUACCUAGUGUAUAUUAUAUAUACAUAUUGCAAGAGCCAUAAUAUAUGUCCUUUUUCCUCCUAAAGACGAUCCUGAUUGGACACACACCUAUGAAAUCAGCAGGUAGAGGGAGACCAGGGAGGAAGGUUUUACUCUGCUCUGGGAAUUGAGGCUAGGAGGAGCUCAGAGGCAGCACAGUGCUGACAUUUGAUGUAUUUGGAGCUGACUCUCUGUGUAACUUCUUUGCCUCUGUUAAUCCAUUAUUGAAUGUUACCUGGGGAACAGGGCUUCUUUAGAAUCAAUAUGUUUGCUCUCUUUCCAACUCUGUCUGACCCUUUCCUCACCCUCACCCUUCUGUAUCCCAGCACCUCUUUUGGCCAGUAUGUUCCUGUAGCCAUUGCCCUUCAGUACCCAGAUUCCGGGGGUCCUGGAUUACCCCACCUGCCUGUGCAGGAGGGAGAGGGGCACUUUCACCAUGGGAAUGCGGUUCAUCAGCAUACAGUCACUUUGGUUCCAAACAGGCUCUAAAGACAUCUUGUCCAUUAAGGCAAAUCAUAUUUAUUUUUUGAGUGAUUAUUGCCAAGAGGGCUCAGGCAUGUAUUGUGUGACUGGUUAAUUGAAAAUUACUUCCUGUUCUCAGUUGGCUGCUCCUUGCCACAGACAAACGAUGAUGCAUUUGACAAACUUCUUGCUGUGGGUUUUGUAUCCCUGC